GGGCCCGUCGUUCAAUGGCAGGACACAUGGCUGGCAGUCAUGGAACGGGAGUUCGAUUCUCCCUGGGUCCACAA
rnacentral:tRNA from 7 species